CCUACGGGAGGCAGCAGUGGGGGAUAUUGCACAAUGGGGGGAACCCUGAUGCAGCGACGCCGCGUGGGUGAAGAAGCGCCUCGGCGCGUAAAGCCCUGUCAGCAGGGAAGAAAAUGACGGUACCUGAAGAAGAAGCCCCGGCUAAAUACGUGCCAACAGCCGCGGUAAAACGUAGGGGGCAAGCGUGAUCCGGAUUUACUGGGUGUAAAGGGGGCGGAGACGGCGAUGCAAGCCCGGGGUGAAAGCCCGGGGCACAACCCCGGGACCGAUCUUGGAACUGGGUGGCUGGAGUGCAGGAGGGGCAGGCGGAAUUCGUGGUGUAGCGGUGAAAUGCGUAGAUAUCAGGAGGAACACCGGUGGCGAAGGCGGCCUGCUGGACUGCAACUGACGUUGAGGCCCGAAAGCGUGGGGAGCAAACAGGAUUAGAUACCCGAGUAGUC
rnacentral:rRNA from 1 species